GCAAUUAGUAGCUCAGCGUAUGUAGAGCACCGGCCUUGUAAGCCGGAGGCCGGAGAUUAGAAUUCUCCCUUUUGCC
rnacentral:tRNA from 2 species